GAUGAACGCUGGCGGCGUGCUUAAUACAUGCAAGUCGAACGGAGACAUUAUAGCAAUAUGAUGUCUUAGUGGCGAACGGGUGAGUAACGCGUUGGUGACCUGCCCCGAAGUGGGGGAUAACAGCUCGAAAGGGCUGCUAAUACCUCAUGUGGUCAUAAGGGUUUGAGACCUGAUGAUUAAAGGAGAAAUUCACUUCGGGAGGGGCCUGCGUCCCAUCAGCUAGUUGGUAGGGUAAUGGCCUACCAAGGCUAUGACGGGUAGGGGACCUGAGAGGGUGGCCCCCCACAAUGGAACUGAAACACGGUCCAUACACCUACGGGUGGCAG
rnacentral:rRNA from 1 species